AUUACUUCUUCUCAAACAUUGUGAAUGCAACAUGAAAAAACAUCACAAACUGUAUUAUUUCUUGGUCAAGACCCACACCAUCUUUAGUAAUAGAAAUGCCCAGGACCAAGACAAGUCCAAGUACAAAUACUAAUAAAUCUGACACAAGUCCAAGUGAAUACAGAAGACGUCUCGAGGCCAGACUCAAGACCUACAACGUUAACUCAUAGGACUGAACCAGUGUAAUUAGCUCACAAGUGUAAAGUGAGUGAAUGGACUGAGAAUACAAAAAUACAUUGAUACUGAAUCUUUAUAUUUUUAUGUUAACAUUAAUAUAAACACUAACAUAUUUCACUCAGUAACACAUUUGAACGUGCUCGUGGUUGCAGCAGGACUUUCACACCUUCAUUGUAUUUUAACAUAAACAGCUCCAUCAUGCAGUAUAAAGCCUGAGACACUAAACUAACACGUUCACCACACACACUUCCUUUAUUUACAGGGACUACAGCAGUCUGAUGGUCAUUACACAAUAAUUCUGUUAUUUUUACACAUUAUUCUUUCUGUGCUGUAGUCAGAGAGUCUAGUUUAAUGACAUGUGUAUGUUUUAGUGCUCCAAACUGAGGAAGUGUGUGUUUCUGACUAAAACUGGUCCAUGUGACCAUCAGAAUACAUGUUACAGCUAAUAGACCAAUCAAAUCAGUCCACAGCUUCAAAUCAUCCAAUCAGGUGUGAGUCUGGACCUGGUUUUGUACUGAACACACAAGUUCAUUAGAUCACUUGGUGUGAACAGGAACGAUGAUCAGACUCGUUGUCGCUCUUUGUGCUCUUUUUUCUCUCUUCACAGCUGUGAAAACUUCUGACAUCAAGGAGAUUGAUGUGAUAACAGUAAAGCGUGGAGAAGAUGUAACUAUGGAGUGUAGCAUUAGCAGUGUCACAAAGAAAGAAGUAGUUUGGUACAGACAGAUUUCAGGAAAAUUACCUCAGUAUUUUGCAAAACCAUACAAUAAAGAAUUGGGCUACAGAUUUAGUGAAGGAUUUAAUGAUGAUCGUUUCAGUAUUAGUGUAAAUGACAAUAAAUUUGAUCUCAAUAUUAAAAAAACAAGAGAAGAUGAUGAAGGAGAAUAUUUCUGUGGAGAAAUGCAAGGAAGUAGAGUGAAGUUCACAUCUGGAACUCGUCUGCAAUUUGAAGACACGACACACAGUAAUACACCUGGAACUACACACAGAGAUUCAUCCAACAGCACAGAAACAUGUUCAGCAGAAUCACAGCAAACCCUGAACAAUAUCAGUCCGUCUGGCUCAGUUUCCCACCGCUGUAUAAUGUUAGACUCCUUCUGAGAGGUCGAGAGACACUUUAGAGAGAUGUAGCGAUGGCAGAUACGGCAAAGGAAAGCCGGCACAGCCAGUGUCGGUCACAUGGGUUCAUCUGACUCAUCUACAUGGAGGUCUACAUGAUGCAGGCACAAGUUAAAAAACAGCAUGUGUCAAAUUUGUCAAUAAUUUAUCAUUUAAGAAGGUUUUUUUUUAAUCAUGCAACAGCUCCCCUUAUGAUUCUGAUCUUUUUUAUUCUGGAGAGUGAGAUCAUUGGGGGAUUAUAACAUGGACUAAUGUACAGGUGGAUACUGAGUUUUAAGCUGAGAUUUAAAAAUGCCAAGAGAUUUUGCUUGCUUUCUCAGUUGGUAAAGAAGUUUUAACUACUUAACUAUAUAUACAGCUGUGUGUCCAUUUUUUUUGUCAGUGUGGCAAAAACA